GACGAACGCUGGCGGCGUGCCUAAUACAUGCAAGUUGAGCGCUGAAGGUUGGUACUUGUACCAACUGGAUGAGCAGCGAACGGGUGAGUAACGCGUGGGGAAUCUGCCUUUGAGCGGGGGACAACAUUUGGAAACGAAUGCUAAUACCGCAUAAAAACUUUAAACACAAGUUUUAAGUUUGAAAGAUGCAAUUGCAUCACUCAAAGAUGAUCCCGCGUUGUAUUAGCUAGUUGGUGAGGUAAAGGCUCACCAAGGCGAUGAUACAUAGCCGACCUGAGAGGGGGAUCGGCCACAUUGGGACUGAGACACGGCCCAAAAUCCUACGGGAGGCAGCAGGAGGGAAUCUUCGGCAAUGGACGAAAGUCUGACCGAGCAACGCCGCGUGAGGGAAGAAGGUUUUCGGAGCGUAAAACUCUGUUGGUAGAGAAGAACGUUGGUGAGAGUGGAAAGCUCAUCAAGUGACGGUAACUACCCAGAAAGGGACGGCUAACUACGUG
rnacentral:rRNA from 1 species